GGCAAAACAAAUACAUAAAUAAAAAAUAAAUUUAAAAAUAUAUAAAGAAUGAUGUAUUCUUUGACGAGCCUUCUGUGCUGUUUAAUUUCCACAGGACCCCCGUUAUCUGAAAACCGGUCUAUGUCCGGGAAGGCUGAUGUCUUGCGCGCAAGGGUAGUAGGAGGAAAGUUGCACAUAAAUAGAAAAAUAUAUAACAAAUAUAUAACAAAUGAGCUUACUAUACAAUGGGCCUUAGAUAAAAUAAAAAAUAGGAAAUAGACCAUAUGGUCAAAGAAUAAAAAAUACAUCGCCAUUAUUAUUCUGCCUAAUAUGGCUUUUAGUUUCCAAAUCCUGAUGCGCUACACGUCCCAGGAUACUUUGCAAACCUGCCCUCCCCUCUUCAAGUUACAAGAACCUGCAAUCUUAAAUACUAGCGAAGUGCAAUAAUCACUUUCUACCUUUCUUUCUAGCUUUUUAUCUAGCUUAUCCUGCGCAAUUACGACACGAAGAGCGCGCGUACACUUAUACAUAUUCGGCGAUGCAGCGAAGCUCGCGCUAAGAAACAAAAAGGCUCAUGGGAAUUAAUUGAUCGAAAAAUCCAAACAGCUUCCUGUGGUAUUUUACAAUAUGUGACUUCACAUAAACUCGGUUUCGAUUUUUUUGGUUGUGUUAAUAAUAUUAUGUUAUUUCAAAAUGUAAUUUGUAAAAUUUUGGCGAGAGCUCGAGGAUGAUUACGUAUUGUCUGACGUCAUAAUCAGCAUUUCCCCAAACUGAUCAAAACGUCCAUGAAGUGAUACAGAAUAGAAUUACUCAUGGAGCGAACCAAGUUUUCAAAAUAUUAGAGUUUUUUUAAGGACCACCCCGUCCUCACCGGACUAGCAGUCUGCGCAGCAGGUGCCGCAGCGUUCUGCUAUUGCAGAAGUAAAUCGAGUGUCGAGAGUGAUGGUCAAGGAGAAGAGACCAAAGAGGAAGUGCCCGUCGCGGUACAAGACGCUGUCGAAGAUGUCUCCGCCGAUCUUUUGCAAGCGGAGAAGUCUUUACCAUUUCGAGAUUUGCUUAUUUAUCAAG